UGCAUCGGCCGGGAAUCAAACCCGGGGCGCGCGCGUGGCAGGCGAGCAUUCUACCACUGAACCACCGAUGC